rnacentral:rRNA from 1 species
CCUACGGGAGGCUGCAGUGAGGAAUAUUGGUCAAUGGACGAGAGUCUGAACCAGCCAAGUAGCGUGAAGGAUGACUGCCCUAUGGGUUGUAAACUUCUUUUAUAUGGGAAUAAAACGUUCCACGUGUGGGAUUUUGUAUGUACCAUAUGAAUAAGGAUCGGCUAACUCCGUGCCAGCAGCCGCGGUAAUACGGAGGAUCCGAGCGUUAUCCGGAUUUAUUGGGUUUAAAGGGAGCGUAGGUGGAUUGUUAAGUCAGUUGUGAAAGUUUGCGACUCAACCGUAAAAUUGCAGUUGAAACUGGCAGUCUUGAGUACAGUAGAGGUGGGCGGAAUUCGUGGUGUAGCGGUGAAAUGCUUAGAUAUCACGAAGAACUCCGAUUGCGAAGGCAGUUCACUGGACUGCAACUGACACUGAGGCUCGAAAGUGUGGGUAUCAAACAGGAUUAGAUACCCGUGUAGUC